UUCUUAAAUAUUUCAAUAAAAUUCUUUCCUUUCGGUGAAAUGAUGGCAAUUAAUUUGUAAUUAACCAAAUAUUUAAUUGGCAUUACUUCACUCAAUACAUUUGACAGCUAAAUUACUAAACAUUUUCAUGCAGUGAUAUAUUUCGUCAAUCGUUUAAAUGACUUGAAUUUCAAACAACGUAUUUAACGUCUAUAUAACUAUCAAACGACGUGAAUUUAUAACGAAAUUAUAGAAAAUUGUGUGAAAUGCAAUUUUGUUUAAAGGCACCUUCUUGGCUAGCGCUUUAAAAAACUGUUAAAGCCGAUAUAAAGCAAACGACAUACGAGAUAUACGAUUGACGAGAGACGAUUUCUGUGCAAUUUCCGUCGAUCUCCCUGAAUUAGAUCGAAUUUAUAACCUCAUGUCGCGCACGCUGCACGAAAUAUAACAUACAGUUAAAAGUUGAAACGUACCGAAAUACACGUACAUUGCCGGAUAAUAAAAUAAACAACGACGAAUAGCAUUGUGCCCCGAGAUAGUCCCGAGAUUGAUUUUGCUUUCCUAGAUUUCAGCAAUCGGAUGUAACCUUCGAGUAAAUUGAGAUACUUAUUGACGAAAUCAGUAAUUGCGAAAUUAGUAAUUUUUGCUUAAUCAAGCGAAACUUUUUUUUCAACUCUGCUCCGUUUCAAUACGAAUUUUAUUGAAGUUGACCGUCCGACGUUUCAUUUUAAUUAUAAAUAAAAAAUGUAGAAAAAUGUUUCUUAAAAUUAUAUUUUAAAUGUUAAUACUUUGUUAAGUAGAGUAAAUAAUGUACAUCGUUCGAAUAUACGUACCAGUGCAUUCUGAGAAAAUCUAAUUAUUAAAUGUUUUGCGUAUUAGGACGUCAUGUUAUUUAUUAUUAUUCUCCUUAUUUGUAUAUUAUGCUUACACAUUAUAUGAAAAAAUAUUAUUUUAUAUUUUAUUUUCCUGGAAUCUCUGUAAUUUCCGUAAACGUUAUUUGUCGGCGUACUUUCUAAAUUAUAAUCAGCAAAGUCAAUGAAAAUGCACUAAUCUUUCAGUAAUAAUAGAUUAAUAUUGAAAUCAAAAUCACUAAAAGACAAUGUAUACUCACUAAUUAUUACAAGUAUCCCACUGCCAAAUCAGGGAUAAUACACUGACUGCUAUUUAGAGAGUAAGGCCAGAGCUGCGCGUGCCUUAAAAAAUUUAAAGGCACCUAUAAGCCUAAGUCGUAAGAAGCCAUACAGAUCGAAGUUCUGCGAAGAUUGCGUCACUGGUCCUGGCACAUCGUAUGUAAAGAGGAAGGUAUUCGCGUAUGCAGUAGAUGACGUGCGUAUGAUCGAGGUGGACGAAGAUAGUUAUUGAUGGGGGAGGGUGGACAGGAUGUUUGACGAACGCUAAACGAUAUUAUUUAUUCUGACGUGAAUUUGUCAGCGGCAUUUCCGUCGUCACGUUGCGCUCGUACGAUCGCAUUAUCUCCGUCCGAGGGGGUGACGCGGAAAAAAAAACGCGGCGCUUUUAAGUGAAAAUAGUUUAUUACUAUGGAGAUUCUCCCGCGCAUAAUGCACGUGUACACAAGUGGCUCUCUAGAGAUACAAAGGGUCCAUAAAUUCUCCAGUCUCCAGCCACGUGGAUUAGGAGCCUCGGGAAAACACGUGUCCGUUGAUUUGCCUUCAAAGUUUUUAAUCUCGGCACAAAAGACGUCGGACCCUUUUACGAGGUAUCGAUUUUUCUAAUAAAACUGGCUCUAAUGAAAUCCCCUGCAACCGAAUCCCUCUAACUUGUUAUAAUUUCAGUUUCACACGGGAGAUCUUAUGGACACUUGUGACUUACACAAGAAGAUAACGUGAUAAUGGAAGUUUGGUAAUUCUGACUAGACUUAAGACUAUGCCUAUAAAUAUUGGUCCUUUGAGGUAACAGGUUCAUAACGCAAUCGGAAAUACUUAAAAUAUACUCCUUUUCGUAUAUCGCAAGGAUAUAAACGUAUCUAAAUAAAUAAAUAAAUAAAUAAUAUUACUAUGUAUAUAACGUAUGUAUAUAACAUAGAUAAGGCAAAGUCGACUUGCGUAAGAAUUGUUUCCUUUUUAUCCUGCAACUCGAUAAUAAUAAUCUACAUCUGUAUGUGUUUACGAUAACAAUCAGAAUAAUUGAUUAUUUCAUUAACAUUUGGAUCCAGCGUUGGAUCCAAUCAAUAUUUCGCUUUUGCUCGGUUUCGCUUCACUUUUGGACCCAAGUAGCGUCAAACGGUAACACUGGUAAUUCUCUUUCUUGUUCGAGAAUACGGGGGAUGCGUCUUUUUAGCACAGUUAUGCGAUGAACAGAACUAAAAACGACUUCGCAGUUUACGAGUUACGGUAAUAGGCUGUAUCUAAACAUUACUCGGUUUAUACAAUUGGUCCUGCUGGUUGCGAAAAACGAGGAACUCGGGAGCUAUUGCUCGAGCUGUCUACUUAAUGUCGACGUUUAAUUGAUGAUUGAUAAAAACUGCCAAUAUCGCGUAUUACAAACGGCACUUUUAUUAGAAACGACACUCGGAUGCGAGCCCGAAGCUCGAUCGCCUUUCCGACGUCUCUCUAUCCGGUUCGAUAUAAAAUCAGGUACGUCUAAGAAACGUUCUCUCUCUAUCAAAAGUCAAGUCAGUUUUAACAUCAAGUGAAAAAUGUUGUAUAACGGACACGAUCUAUUAUAUUUUAUUAGUGUAAUUUAUAAUUUAUAAACGUGUCCCCUGCGAUUAAACUUCGAUUCGAUAAAUUACGCUAAAAAAAAAGAGAUGUUAAACUUUAAGAUAUUAUACUGUUUUAUUUUUGUCUCCAUUUUUCGAAACUUACAAACGUUUUAGUUUUAAAAGUGUUUAGAUUAUAAAACACUAAAACAUUUAAAGAUUUAUCUUUAAACGUUUUAAUAUUUUAAAUCUAAACACCGUUUAAAACAAAAACAUUAAGUAAUUUUUAAAUGAAUGGAGACAGAAACAAGACAAACAUUUUACAUGUUAAAAUUAAACCUUUCUUGUUUUUUUUUAGUGCAUUAGAUCAGCAAUUUUAUAUACUCGUGUAGUUUUCGAGAACUUGGUCCAGUUGAGACCCUAUACCUUCUGCAUAACAUAACGUAAUCUUCGUCCGUCCGAUGUGUAUCGCGGCAUAAAUAUUUCCAAGAUAAUACCUGAAGUUCGAUACUCUUAUCGUGGACUUCAAUAAUUCGAAACUUCCGCCCGUAGUAGCUCGCUGCCCGAUAUAUACGCCGCGUGCAAAGUAUAAGUGCCAGAAGUCUCACCUGCUGCGAAUGAGAAUAAUAUCUAACGGGCACUACGAUAUUUUAAACUAAUUCAACGCGAGAGAUUAUGGCUCGCUGCACCACGCUACGCCGCGGUUACUUGCUACAAAUACUCGGAGGCGCAAACGAGAGAGGCGCGCUUUAAAUAAAUACCCACCUACCGAAUUGAUCGCGCGCGCAAGAAUUGAAAGAGAUACGCGCGGGGACGUCGCGCGAGCGCGAGUAUGAUUAACAUUUGUACUUUCAGAUGCGCGUUCAUUCAUGGAGGUGUCGAGCGUGUGGAGGCGCGAGCACCCAUUAAUUAACGGCAAGGGAAAAGGUCGGGGGGAGAGCUCGAGAUUCUCCCGCGCGCGUCGCUCAUAAUAUACCUUGCCUUACGGAAUUUUUCCGAUAGCGGCGACGAUGUGGAACGAUGCGUGCGAGCGGAAGAUCGAUCCGUGCGAGUGCGGAUGUGACCGCUAAACGUUUCAUCAGACGCACUAAUAAAAAAAAAAAAAAA
rnacentral:lncRNA from 1 species